UGGUUCUGGCAUCGAUGAAGAACGCAGCGAAAUGCGAUAAGUAAUGUGAAUUGCAGAAUUCAGUGAAUCAUCGAAUCUUUGAACGCACAUUGCACCUUUUGGUAUUCCGAAAGGUAUAUCUGUUCGAACGUCAUUUAAAUCUCAAGUUUAACUUGGUCUUGACGAAUGUCUCUUGACAUCGUUCAAAUUAAAUGGUUUGAAUUAAUUUCAUCAUGAGGUUGCAAUAUUCCUCAUCAUAAAUUAAAUCAACUCCGGUCAAUAUUUUUAUUUUAAAGUUGACUUCGAAUCAGAUAAGAAUACCCGCUGA
rnacentral:misc_RNA from 1 species